CCAGACUCCUACGGGAGGCAGCAGUGAGGAAUAUUGGUCAAUGGGCGAGAGCCUGAACCAGCCAAGUCGCGUGAGGGAGUACUGCCCUAUGGGUUGUAAACCUCUUUUGUCGGGGAGCAAAAGCCGGACGUGUCCGGCUGUGAGAGUACCCGAAGAAAAAGCAUCGGCUAACUCCGUGCCAGCAGCCGCGGCAAUACGGAGGAUGCGAGCGUUAUCCGGAUUUAUUGGGUUUAAAGGGAGCGUAGAUGGGUUGUUACGUCAGUUGUGAAAGUUUGCGGCUCAACCGUAAAAUUGCAAUUGAUACUGGCAGUCUUGAGUACAGUUGAGGUAGGCGGAAUUCGUGGUGUAGCGGUGAAAUGCGUAGAUAUCAGGAGGAACACCGGUGGCGAAGGCGGCCUGCUGGACUGCGACUGACGUUGAGGCCCGAAAGCGUGGGGAGCAAACAGGAUUAGAUACCCCGGUAAC
rnacentral:rRNA from 1 species